AAUAAAUUUCUUAUGGUUUAAAAAAUUUAUAAUAAAUUUGUUUUACAUAUAAAUUUUAGUGUUAGUUUUUUAUUAUUUUAAUAAUAAUUGAUUUUUUUUUAUAGUAAUUAAUAUUAAAAAUUUAAGAAAUUAAGAUUUAGCAUUAUAAAAAUUAUUAACUAAUUUUGUGCCAGCAGUUGCGGUUAAACAAAAAAUAAAUUAAAUUUUUUUAGUGAUUAAUUAGUGAUUAUUGUUUAAUUAAAAAUUUAAAUUAUUAAGUGAAAUUUUAAUUUAAUAAAAAAUUAUAAAUAUUUUAUGUUUAUUAAUAAAUUUUAUGAAAAACUAGGAUUAGAUACCCUACUAUUAAAAAUUUAAAUUUAAAUACUAAAAUAGUAGAUAAUUAUUUAUUGAAACUUAAAUAAUUUGGCGGUAUUUUAGUUCAUUUAGAGGAAUCUGUUUAUUAAUUGAUAGUCCACGAGUAAAUUUACUUAAUUUAAAAGUUUAUAUAUCGUUGUUAAAAAAAUAUUUUUAAAUAAAAAUAAUAUUUAAAAAUUUAAAUAUUAAAUUAAAUCAGAUCAAGAUGUAGUUUAUAAUUAAGAAUAUAAUGGAUUACAAUAAUUUUAUUUAAAUGAAUUUUAGUUUGAAAUAAUUAAUUGAAAGUGGAUUUAACUGUAAUUUUUUAUAAAUUGAAAAAAUGAUUGAAAAUUAAAAUAUGUACAUAUUGCCCGUCACUUUCAUUAAAAAAUUGAAAUAAGUCGUAACAAAGUAGGGGUACUGGAAAGUGUUCCUAGAAAGA
rnacentral:ncRNA from 1 species